rnacentral:rRNA from 1 species
UACAGAGGUCUCAAGCGUUGUUCGGAUUCAUUGGGCGUAAAGGGUGCGUAGGUGGCGCGCUAAGUCAGGUGUGAAAUUUCGGAGCUUAACUCCGAAACUGCAUUUGAUACUGGCGUGCUUGAGGACUGGAGAGGAGACUGGAAUUCAUGGUGUAGCAGUGAAAUGCGUAGAUAUCGUAAGGAAGACCAGUGGCGAAGGCGGGUCUCUGGACAGUUCCUGACGCUGAAGCACGAAGGCCAGGGGAGCAAACGGG